UGGCGGCAGGCCUAACACAUGCAAGUCGAGCGGAUGACGGGAGCUUGCUCCUUGAUUCAGCGGCGGACGGGUGAGUAAUGCCUAGGAAUCUGCCUGGUAGUGGGGGACAACGUUUCGAAAGGAACGCUAAUACCGCAUACGUCCUACGGGAGAAAGCAGGGGACCUUCGGGCCUUGCGCUAUCAGAUGAGCCUAGGUCGGAUUAGCUUGUUGGUGAGGUAAUGGCUCACCAAGGCGACGAUCCGUAACUGGUCUGAGAGGAUGAUCAGUCACACUGGAACUGAGACACGGUCCAGACUCCUACGGGAGGCAGCAGUGGGGAAUAUUGGACAAUGGGCGAAAGCCUGAUCCAGCCAUGCCGCGUGUGUGAAGAAGGUCUUCGGAUUGUAAAGCACUUUAAGUUGGGAGGAAGGGUUGUAGAUUAAUACUCUGCAAUUUUGACGUUACCGACAGAAUAAGCACCGGCUAACUCUGUGCCAGCAGCCGCGGUAAUACAGAGGGUGCAAGCGUUAAUCGGAAUUACUGGGCGUAAAGCGCGCGUAGGUGGUUUGUUAAGUUGGAUGUGAAAGCCCCGGGCUCAACCUGGGAACUGCAUCCAAAACUGGCAAGCUAGAGUACGGUAGAGGGUGGUGGAAUUUCCUGUGUAGCGGUGAAAUGCGUAGAUAUAGGAAGGAACACCAGUGGCGAAGGCGACCACCUGGACUGAUACUGACACUGAGGUGCGAAAGCGUGGGGAGCAAACAGGAUUAGAUACCCUGGUAGUCCACGCCGUAAACGAUGUCAACUAGCCGUUGGAAUCCUUGAGAUUUUAGUGGCGCA
rnacentral:rRNA from 1 species